ACCGAGUCUUAACUGGGCGUUAAGUUGCAGGGUAUAGACCCGAAACCCGGUGAUCUAGCCAUGGGCAGGUUGAAGGUUGGGUAACACUAACUGGAGGACCGAACCGACUAAUGUUGAAAAAUUAGCGGAUGACUUGUGGCUGGGGGGGAAAGGCCAAUCAAACCGGGAGAUAGCUGGUUCUCCCCGAAAGCUAUUUAGGUAGCGCCUCGUGAAUUCAUCUCCGGGGGUAGAGCACUGUUUCGGCAAGGGGGUCAUCCCGACUUACCAACCCGAUGCAAACUGCGAAUACCGGAGAAUGUUAUCACGGGAGACACACGGCGGGUGCUAACGUCCGUCGUGAAGAGGGAAACAACCCAGACCGCCAGCUAAGGUCCCAAAGUCAUGGUUAAGUGGGAAACGAUGUGGGAAGGCCCAGACAGCCAGGAUGUUGGCUUAGAAGCAGCCAUCAUUUAAA
rnacentral:rRNA from 1 species